ACCACAGUAGCAUGCCAUCUGUUUUAUUUUCCCAUCAGGGCCAGUGACACUAUCGAGGGCAUAGCCAUAGUCGUAAGUAAGCUCCUACGAUAAAGAAAGAAUAAAUGGUCAGCUCCAAUUGAAAUAGAAUCAAGGAAACUAGAGAGUAUUUGAUCUGCUGCUCAAGCACCUUUUGAUUGGUAUUUAGCUCCCAAAUGUCUAGCACUUUCAUUUUGGAUUUCACAAAGGCCAAAACUAGCUAUCACUUUUUUAGGGGAUCAAAAAAAUUCCAAAAGCCAGACUCAAAUUUGAAGCUAUUAUGAGUUUGACUACUUUUACUAAAAAAAACUUAUAAUAACUAUUUAACCAAAAACACUUAUUACUUUAACACUUUCUAACCCAAUAGCAACUGGAAAUUGCAACAGCAAACUGCAGUCAGAAUACCCAAGAGCUGACUGUAACUAUAACACUUAGCUGCAACAGCCAAUCAAAACACCCCAGCAGUGAACAGGUACAAGAAAAUCAUCAUUAAACCAGGAUAGAAUUCUCCUAUCACAUCAAGUGAGACAAACAUGCUCCAAGAUGCCUCUUUAACCUUGAAACAUAAUGCAAAGCGCAAUACAGAAUAGUUUUUUUCACUUGGAACUAUCGCAAGCACAAGAAUGUCAAUUACAGAUCAGGUGUUCAUACAUCACUGUCAAACAAGAUGACAAAUAGCACAGUUACAUUCAAACAUACCCACCCAAGAGCCAACAGACAGGACAUCACAAAGUACUAAACAUAAGAUAUGAGCCCUCAAAUGUAGCCCUACAUUAUGCACUAGACAUCACUGACCACAUUCACAUCUCCUUUCAGACCUAAUGCAUUAUUCAUUUGCCAGUUCAAACAAUAUAUUGUUGAUGCCCUUAAAUGUAAAUGAGAAACACAAUCUAAGCACAAGAGUCUUGCUUGCACAGCAUCAUAUGAACAUAAUGCCAUUAGUUAUAAAUGGUACAUAACAUUAAAUUAAAGAAAUCAAUAUCAAAAUAUCAUGAAAUGAAGAAUUACAGUAAACCAAAAUUUUAAAAUAGACUAUGAGGUCUUGUAAUAGCAUCUAAUGAUGCAGUAGAGAAUCACAAUGAAUGUUAUAUUUUUCAAGUUAAGAGGUUUUGGAAGUUACUGUAUUACCUAGGAAAAACAAAUGUGAUACUGAAGACAUUAAAAUGACUUUUCAAACAGAAAUUAGCCAUUACGAUUUUCUGAACCCAGAAACCCAAAAUAGAGGGUAUUCAUCAGAAUUAUGGCAAGAAAAACAAGUAGAAAAUUAUCUGCUCUAGCGAAGACAUUGAAUGUCAUUAAACAGAGAGCAAAUUAUCUGCUCUAGCAAAGACAUUGAAUGUCAUUAAACAAAUAGAAAAUUAUCUGCUCUAGCAAAGACAUUGAAUGUCAUU
rnacentral:misc_RNA from 1 species